GAAAUUCCAAUCGAACCCGGAGAUAGCUGGUUCUCCCCGAAAUAGCUUUAGGGCUAGCGUCGAGAGAAGAGUUGCGUGAAGGUAGAGCACUGAAUAUGUGAUGGCCCCAUCUCGGGGUACUGAGCAUAAUCAAACUGCGAAUGUCACGCCAACAUGCUCGGCAGUCAGACAGCGGGUGAUAAGGUCCGUUGUCAAGAGGGAAACAGCCCAGACCAUCAGCUAAGGUCCCAAAAUGUAUGCUAAGUGGAAAAGGAUGUGGAGAUGUACAGACAACUAGGAGGUUGGCUCAGAAGCAGCCAUCCUUUAAAGAGUGCGUAACAGCUCACUAGUCGAAUGACUCUGCGCCGAUAAUUUACCGGGGCUAAGCAUACUACCGAAGCUAUGGAUCCCAAGGGAUGGUAGGGGAGCGUUCCAUGAACGGAGAAGUACGACCGAAAGGACGUGUGGAGAUCAUGGAAGAGAGAAUGCCGGUGUGAGUAGCGGAACGUGGGUGAGAAUCCCACGCACCGAAAACCCAAGGUUUCCAGAGGAAGGUUCGUCCGCUCUGGGUAAGUCGGGACCUAAGGCGAGGCCGAAAGGCGUAGUCGAUGGACAACAGGUAGAGAUUCCUGUACCCGUAUAUAUGUGAAGGAAUGACGGAGAGAGGAAGCUGCAGCCAGCGGCUGGAAGAGCUGGUGCAAGCGAGAUAUCGGGAUGGCAGGCAAAUCCACCAUCCGAAACGAGAAGGCGUGAAGCGUACGGAAAGCUACGGCGAGUACGGAAGGCAGUGGAGGAACUUCCAAGAAAAGUUUCUAACGUUAAGUAUAUAUGGCCCGUACCGAAAAUGGACACACAUGGGUGAGGAGAGAAUCCUAAGGUGAGCGAGAGAACUAUAGCUAAGGAACUCUGCAAAAUGACUCCGUAACUUAGGGAGAAGGAGUGCUCAUAGAGAUAUGAGCCGCAGUGAAACGGCCCAAGCGACUGUUUACCAAAAACACAGCUCUCUGCUAAGCCGCAAGGCGAAGUAUAGGGGGUGACGCCUGCCCGGUGCUGGAAGGUUAAGGGGAGGGGUUAACGCAAGUGAAGCCCUGAACUGAAGCCCCAGUAAACGGCGGCCGUAACUAUAACGGUCCUAAGGUAGCGAAAUUCCUUGUCAGGUAAGUUCUGACCCGCACGAAAGGCGUAACGAUUUGGGCGCUGUCUCAGCUGUAGACUCGGUGAAGUCUUAGUACCUGUGAAGAUGCAGGUUACCCGCGACUAGACGGAAAGACCCCAUGGAGCUUCACUGCAGGUUGAUAUUGGGAUUUGAUGCAGCAUGUACAGGAUAGGUAGGAGGCAAAGAGAUGGAUACGCCAGUAUUCAAGGAGCCGCUGUUGGGAUACUACCCCUGUUGUAUUGGAUUUCUAACCGGACGACGUAGAGCCGUUGACGGGACAGUGUCAGUCGGGCAGUUUGACUGGGGCGGUCGCCUCCCAAAGAGUAACGGAGGCGCCCAAAGAUACCCUCAGCUUGGAUGGAAACCAAGCGCAGAGUGCAAAGGCAAAAGGGUGUUUGACUGCGAGACCUACAAGUCGAGCAGGGACGAAAGUCGGGCUUAGUGAUCCGGCGGUGCUGAAUGGAAAGGCCGUCGCUCAACGGAUAAAAGCUACCCUGGGGAUAACAGGCUGAUCUCCCCCAA
rnacentral:rRNA from 1 species